rnacentral:rRNA from 1 species
AUGCUCGCCAAACAAUGCUGGAGACUCAUUGAUAAUUAUGACUCUCUAUGUGCUAAGGUCCUAAGAGCGAAAUAUUACCCUUCUGGAUACUUCUUGAAUUGUGAACUGAAAAAAGGAGCGUCCUAUGUUUGGCAGAGCAUUUGGGCAGGAAUACAAACUUUCAAGAAGGGGUGUAUAUGGAGAGUUGGCAAUGGUACGAAAAUAAAUAUAUGGGAUGAUUGUUGGAUUCCAAAUAGUAUUUCAAGGAAAAUUAUCACAGCGCGGGGCAACUGUGUACUGUCAAAGGUGAAUGAACUUAUUAACCCGGUCACGGGGGAAUGGGAUGAGGCACUAGCCAGAGAUAAUUUUUGGCACAUUGAUGCGGAAAGAAUUUUGCAAAUCCCAAUAUAUCAGUAUGACACAGACGAUUUUGUCUCAUGGCACUUAACGAAAUCGGGUGUUUUUUCUGUCCGCUCGGCCUAUUACAAGCAGUGGGAGGAUACUUAUGUUUCGAAGGAUUCAAAUCCUAAUGGUAUAAGCGGAUCUGCUCAACACCCGGUCUGGAAGAAACUUUGGAGUUUAAAGAUACCAAGCAAAAUAAAAUUUUUCUUAUGGAGAUGUCUUCAUGAUGCAAUACCCUGUUGCUGUGUACUGGCAAGCAGGCAUAUUUCUAAGUCUGCUCAAUGUCCGCUAUGCUUAAUGCAGGCAAAAGAUAUUGCUCAUAUGGCCUUCAAAUGUAACAGGGCUUAGGAGAUAUGGAGAAAUCUGGGACUGCAUGACAUAAUAGCAAGAGUUGCAGAACAAGCGAGAUCGGGUGCUGAGAUUUUUGAAAUCUUUCUUUGUGAACCGGCUCACCAGACGCAGUAUAUGGAUGACGUUGAUUUAUCAGAGCUGAUUGCUAUUACUAGCUGGUAUAUAUGGUGGCAAAGGAGGCAAAUAGUGAGACAUGAAGAGGUUCAAUGCCCGGUUAGGUCCUGCCAGUCCAUCAGGGCUCUCUCACUGAAUUUUGUACGAGCUGCAACUAAACCUACAACACUGCUGUGGCUGAACAAAUGGAGGAAGCCAUUACUUGGCCAAUAUCUCGUUAAUGUUGAUGCUUCCUCCGUAGAAGAGGACAAUGCUGGAUCCUGUGGUACAGUUAUAAGAGAUAGCAAUGGUAUGUUUGUGGCUGCAGCCACGGCCAAAUUAGAGCAUGUGGCAAACGUGAUAUCAGCGGAAGCAGGCGCUCUUGUGGAAGGUCUCAAACUUGCUGGCAACUUGGGAUUGAACUCUAUUUUGAUACAAUUUGACAAUGUGAUCAUUGUGGAAGCUCUCCAGGGAGACUCAUGA